GAUGAACGCUGGCGGCGUGCCUAAUACAUGCAAGUCGAACGAAACUUCUUUAUCACCGAGUGCUUGCACUCACCGAUAAAGAGUUGAGUGGCGAACGGGUGAGUAACACGUGGGCAACCUGCCCAAAAGAGGGGGAUAACACUUGGAAACAGGUGCUAAUACCGCAUAACCAUAGUUACCGCAUGGUAACUAUGUAAAAGGUGGCUAUGCUACCGCUUUUGGAUGGGCCCGCGGCGCAUUAGCUAGUUGGUGGGGUAAAGGCUUACCAAGGCAAUGAUGCGUAGCCGAACUGAGAGGUUGAUCGGCCACAUUGGGACUGAGACACGGCCCAAACUCCUACGGGAGGCAGCAGUAGGGAAUCUUCCACAAUGGGCGAAAGCCUGAUGGAGCAACGCCGCGUGGGUGAAGAAGGUCUUCGGAUCGUAAAACCCUGUUGUUAGAGAAGAAAGUGCGUGAGAGUAACUGUUCACGUUUCGACGGUAUCUAACCAGAAAGCCACGGCUAACUACGUGCCAGCAGCCGCGGUAAUACGUAGGUGGCAAGCGUUAUCCGGAUUUAUUGGGCGUAAAGGGAACGCAGGCGGUCUUUUAAGUCUGAUGUGAAAGCCUUCGGCUUAACCGGAGUAGUGCAUUGGAAACUGGGAGACUUGAGUGCAGAAGAGGAGAGUGGAACUCCAUGUGUAGCGGUGAAAUGCGUAGAUAUAUGGAAGAACACCAGUGGCGAAAGCGGCUCUCUGG
rnacentral:rRNA from 1 species